AUUGAACGCUGGCGGCAGGCCUAACACAUGCAAGUCGAGCGGGGUUUUCGGACCUAGCGGCGGACGGGUGAGUAAUGCGUAGGAAGCUACCCGAUAGAGGGGGAUACCAGUUGGAAACGACUGUUAAUACCGCAUAAUGUCUACGGACCAAAGUGUGGGACCUUCGGGCCACAUGCUAUCGGAUGCGCCUACGUGGGAUUAGCUAGUUGGUGAGGUAAUGGCUCACCAAGGCGACGAUCCCUAGCUGGUUUGAGAGGAUGAUCAGCCACACUGGAACUGGGACACAGUCCAUACUCCUACGGGAGGCAGCAGUGGGGAAUAUUGGACAAUGGGCGCAAGCCUGAUCCAGCCAUGCCGCGUGUGUGAAGAAGGCCUUCGGGUUGUAAAGCACUUUCAGUAGGGAGGGAGCGUUGUGUGUUAAUAGUACACAGCGUUGACGUUACCUACAGAAGAAGCACCGGCUAACUCUGUGCCAGCCGCCGCCGUAAAAC
rnacentral:rRNA from 1 species